rfam:Eubacterium dolichum CAG:375 genomic scaffold, scf170
UCUAUCAUGAGGUGGAAUCUUAAAGGAAGCCGGUGGCAAAAUCUUGAAUCUAUGGACAAGAACUGGUCAAAAUGCACAUAAGGUAGGAUAAGGUUUCCAAACAAAUCAAAGUCUUAUGUGUAAAAUCAGAGGUUAUAUGAGAGGAAAGUUACUGCA